UACGUAGGCAGCGAGCGUUGUUCGGAGUUACUGGGCGUAAAGGGUGUGUAGGCGGUUGUUUAAGUUUGGUGUGAAAUCUCCCGGCUCAACUGGGAGGGUGCGCCGAAUACUGAAUAACUAGAGUGCGGGAGAGGAAAGUGGAAUUCCUGGUGUAGCGGUGAAAUGCGUAGAUAUCAGGAGGAACACCGGUGGUGUAGACGGCUU
rnacentral:rRNA from 1 species